rnacentral:lncRNA from 1 species
UAACUCUUCCUUUCCUCUCCUCAUAAGCAUACUUUUCCCCCUGGCUCCUUGUAGAGGUGGUCUUUGACGUUCUUGGCUUGUGAAAACGGAGCAGACAGGAUACUUGUGGCUGCACUGGUCCUCAUGUAAUCCUCCAGGAAAAUAUGGUUAAGGAAACCAAACAAACCUAAGGAAGCCAUUGAGCAUAAAGCAUAGCCAAUUUCUACUACACCUUUGGAACGCCCUUUUGAUGACUUCUUCAGUUUACCAGCUUUACGAGCCUGCGCUCUGACCCAC